rnacentral:lncRNA from 7 species
ACAUUUGCCACUGGAACUUUAUUCCCUGUGUGCUGGAACUGUUUCCUCCUGUGUCACAGUGGUGUUUGGACAUCUCCUCUAGGCCAUAUUGAAAGACCUGAGCUGAUUGGAACUGCUGAAUCUGUAGGGAGGAUUUCAGCACAGCUCUGAGUACUGGGACAUCGGAGCUGUGCAAGGAGUGGGGAGGGAAAUUCAAGCCCUCCCCCCUUCCCUUUGAGUCUGUAAUCACAAACUGGGUGAAAGGCUUAAGGAUUUUGGCCUAGCCUGUUGUCUAGGAAGGCUGGAAAGAUCAGCUGCUAACAUUUCACCACCAACUGUGAAAAGGCAAGGAAGUGGCUGCCGGGGCUGGAGCCUGUGGGAAUCCCUGCUCUCGAGCAUCAGCUACUCUCUCCCACCUACAACAAAAUAACAGGUAACUGGAGGAAAAGCAGUCUGGGCUGAUUUGUCACCACAUCACUGAAGUUUGAUACGAGGUUGAGUGUUUUGGAGCAGAGACUGGUUGCAUUAGGCUGUGGGAACCAAGGUGAGAUGUCAGAGUCAUGCUGACGAUGUCCACUUCUUUAGUUACCUGACUUGGGAUGGUGUACCAAGAAGUCUGGAAGGAUAGCAUGUGAUAAUGCCAGAGAAGUGAGAGCUAUGUCUACUUCAUAACUUCCUUUUGCACAUAACAAAUCAUGGGUAAGGCCUGACAACAAAAGAAGGAAAACUGCAGGUGGUAGAGGCUGGCUUUCUAGCUGAUUCUUUUUGGAUCUCUCCAAUUGCAAACUGCACCUUGCAGCAAGUAGUAGCUGCUUACUAACAGCUCCAAAGCUUCUCUGAAGUGGGGGGGGAUAAGCAGUCUUUACCAACAGGUGCUGCACUUCAGCAUGUGUCUAAAGCCUGCUUACUGGUGAAAAGCAUUUGCUUGGAGGUUGAAAGGCACCACCAGUCAGAUGCUGCAGAAUACACUUAAAGCCAGAGUGAGCCAUACAACGCCAGUUACUGUGCCACUGCUGACUGGCAUUGACUGCUUAGCAACAGUGAGAGUGAAAGGGAUACAGAUGAAUUGACUGUUUUCUGAGUAAGCUGGGUAGGAGCAGAAGUAAUUAGCUGCUAGCUGAUGAAAAGGCAUGCUUAAUUAUUAGAAUAAUUAUAGAUAUAAUAGAUGAGGAAUUAUUCAGUAAAAGUAAGAAAAUCAAUAUGUUGCAAAGAAGGUAAUCAGAAUGGAAGAGAAAAUGACAGCAGUGUGAAUUCUUGAGAGGGUGAUGUAAAGAAUUAAUAUGAUAAAUCUGAAAUCUUUUGGAUUUUCUCUCUGACAUAUCAACUCAGUUUAACAGUGAUGUGAGGAUGUACAGAGCUAACAAAGUCUGUGGCUUGCAUUAUUUCUGGUUUUAUAUAACACUGAUUUAACUGAUUGUAUGCCAGUAAAGUUGAGCUAUAUUUUUAUAACUC